AAUAAUAAAAUGUAGUGAAUUGAAACACUUAAUAUAUAAUUAAAAAGUUUAGAUAAUUAACAAUAUAAAACAAACAAGAUCAUAUUAUUUAAAAUGUAUGUGAUUAGUUUUCAUAAAAGUUAUGUGAAUUGGGAAAACUGAGGAUGCAACUCCAGUCCAGAGGUGGCGCUACUUGCUGCACAUCACGGUUGUUCACAGCCAAACGUUUGAGCGCUGCAUUUCUACUUCCUGUUGCCCUUCAACUGUGUGGGGAGUGGAGCGAGAUCAAUGUUAUGGUAAGAAAUCUAAAGCCAUCCUACAUCCAAUUUCUUCAAAUUGUGUCGAAAUUGUGUAGUUUAUAUUAGAUGGAUACUAUUUGGUUUGAUUUCUGUUCACAUUUCCGUAGUUUGUUAUUGCUGUAGCCUAAACGGUUAAAUCCUGCAUGGCAGGUGUUCCAGUGCAUGUGUGCUUCAGGCUAGCGGUUCUUUGGCAACUUGGCUUGUUUGUUACUUCUCUACAGGUCGACAGUAAACUAAACCAACCUUGAAAUUGGUUAUUAUGCUGUUUGAAACGACACAAAGCCACAAGUGAUUGUCAUACAAAACUAUUGUGGUAUUUUUGUCAUUCUCCUCAACGGGACAUCCAUGUGGCGACAUGGCUGGUAUUAUCUCCGUGUUCAAUCUGGUCAAGCAGAUGAGGGGCCUUCAUUUACUGCCGACAUAGAUGAGGUUCUGAUCAAGAAG